GGGGGACGGGUGACUAACGCGUGGGAACCUGCCUUCUGGUCUGGAAUAACCCUGGGAAACUAGGGGGUGAUACCGGAUACGCCCUUUUGGGGAAAGGGGGACUGCGCGGAGAUCGGCCCGCGUCUGAUUAGCUAGUUGGUGGGGUAACGGCCUACCAAGGCGACGAUCAAUAGCUGGUCUGAGAGGAUGAUCAGCCACACUGGGACUGAGACACGGCCCAGACUCCUACGGGAGGCAGCAGUGGGGAAUAUUGGACAAUGGGCGCAAGCCUGAUCCAGCCAUGCCGCGUGAGUGAUGAAGGCCUUAGGGUUGUAAAGCUCUUUUAUCCGGGACGAUAAUGACGGUACCGGAGGAAUAAGCCCCGGCUAACUUCGUGCCAGCAGCCGCGGUAAUACGAAGGGGGCUAGCGUUGCUCGGAAUCACUGGGCGUAAAGGGCGCGUAGGCGGCGUUUUAAGUCGGGGGUGAAAGCCUGUGGCUCAACCACAGAAUGGCCUUCGAUACUGGGACGCUUGAGUAUGGUAGAGGUUGGUGGAACUGCGAGUGUAGAGGUGAAAUUCGUAGAUAUUCGCAAGAACACCGGUGGCGAAGGCGGCCAACUGGACCAUUACUGACGCUGAGGCGCGAAAGCGUGGGGAGCAAACGGGAUUAGAUACCCUGGUAGUCCACGCCGUAAACGAUGAAAUGCCAGCUGUUGGGGUGCUUGCCCCGGAGUAGCGCAGCUAACGCUUUGAGCAUUCGGCCUGGGGGGUACGGGGCAAGAUUAAAACUCAAAGGAAUUGACGGGGCCCCGACAAGCGGGGGAGCAUGGUGGUUAAUUCCAAACCACCCCGCCAAACCCUACCUCCUU
rnacentral:rRNA from 1 species